CUCAGCAGGAGAGCCGUGCAUUGCCAAAGGCAGGGAGAAUAACAAACCAGGUGCCAUCCAGAGUCUACAGGAAAGCUUCAGUCUUUCCAAGGAAAAUUAAAAAACGAAUAACCAGAUUACACAUUCUGAGUUCUGCUCCCUGUGGACUUCUGUUGAAUCCUGGAUGAGGAAAGAAGAAAUGGGUUUCCAUGGACCUAUCAAUGAUACUCAUCACAGGUUGCCCUUUUAUGGAGAUGUGGCAUAAAUUCAAGGAGAUCCACUUCAAAUCCAUUUGUUGGCUCUGCUUCAAGAGAUGAAUACAAAUUACUGUUUAUCCACCAAACACUUACAUUGCAUUCCUGCGUGCUGGGCAGCACUCUAAGUGUUUUAUAAACAUCGGUGAUUUUCAUGCUCACGACAGCUCUGUGGAUAGGCAUCUCAUUACCUCCACAUACAUUUAGACAUGGGAAAUGAAGCAGAGGGAGAAGAAACAACCAGUGCUGCACAGCUGGUGGCAACAGGAUGCGUAAGCAGGUAGCCUUGCUCUAGAGCCCUUA
rnacentral:lncRNA from 1 species